GGGCACAUGGUGUAGUUGGUUAUCACAUCCGCUUAGCACGUGAUAGCUGCGGGGGGUGCUGGGUUCAAUUCCCAGUGUGUCCA
rfam:Fomitopsis pinicola FP-58527 SS1 unplaced genomic scaffold FOMPIscaffold_2, whole genome shotgun sequence.